GCUGGGCGUGGUGGUGCACACCUGUAAUCCCAGCUACUCGGGAGGCUGAGGCAGGAGAAUCGCUUGAACCCAGGAGGCAGAGGUUGUAGUGAGCCAAGAUUGCACCACUGCACUCCAGCCUGGGUGACAAAGCAAGAUUCUGUUUCAA
rnacentral:SRP_RNA from 1 species